rnacentral:rRNA from 1 species
CACGGGGGGAGCAAGCGUUGUCCGGAGUUACUGGGCGUAAAGCGCGCGCAGGCGGCGGUGCUGGCCCGGCGUGAAAGCCCCCGGCUCAACCGGGGAGGGUCGUCGGGGACCGCACCGCUUGAGGGCGGUAGGGGCUGGUGGAAUGCCUGGUGUAGUGGUGAAAUGCGUAGAGAUCAGGCGGAACACCCGUGGCGAAGGCGGCCAGCUGGGCCGUCCCUGACGCUGAGGCGCGAAGGCGUGGGGAGCGAACGGG